UACGGGGGGGGCAAGCGUUGUUCGGAAUUACUGGGCGGAAAGGGUUCGUAGGUGGCCUGCUAAGUCACACGUGAAAUCCCUCAGCUUAACUGGGGAACUGCGUGUGAUACUGGCGAGCUUGAGUGCAGGAGAGGAACGCGGAAUUCCAGGUGUAGCGGUGAAAUGCGUAGAUAUCUGGAGGAACACCGGUGGCGAAGGCGGCGUUCUGGACUGCAACUGACACUGAUGAACGAAAGCCAGGGGAGCAAACGGG
rnacentral:rRNA from 1 species